AAGUUUGUCGUCGCUAACCCACUUUCAGUGAGGACCAAGGUUCGAGUUGUAAAGGAGACCACAUUUUUAGAGGCUUGCAUUGAGAA